AGCUGCAUCCUAGGCCUUUCUCCUACUCUCACUGCCACAGAAACCCAGUGGUUCCGGGUUAGUGGGUCUGAGGUCUUUCUUUUCACCCUUAAACCCCAACAGGCUAGUGACAGGUUGUGGGCCCAGGGCAGCAGGGGCCACUGAUCUUCAGGGGCCUCAUGGCUCUUGAAUGACAUAGCAGGGCCCAGGCAGGGUUAUGGUUGGAGAGACACCUGGGGACCCAGGGACGGCCCUGUGGCCCAGGCAGGGAUGUGGCAGGAACAGCUAACAGAGCCUGCACCUGACAAGGACCAG
rnacentral:lncRNA from 1 species